rnacentral:lncRNA from 13 species
AUGCCUUUAAGUGGUUUUUUUUUUUUUUGGCACCACUGUGAGCCAGGAUCAUCUCCUCAUUCCAAGGUAUUUGUCUGGGGAUGGCUGUGCAUACAGAACACCAUUAGCUCCAUGAAGAACAUGACAGAGGUACCUGGUCCUACCUGGAUUCUUGGGCAUGCGGGAAGCAGCAGCAGUAGCCACAGUGAACUUCAUCCUAAGGAACUGUUAUGCAGACGUUGCAUGAGUCUCUUGUGGGGGUGCCAGCAAAACCAAGCCUUUGUGCCUAUCUGUGGUUGUGACCCGUUGGAGAGACAUUGGGAGAUGAGAUACUGUGCUCACUCCUCACGGCUGAACCAAGGACCUGAGAUAUUCCAUUGCUAUCCUGGAGCUAUGGUGCAUUACUCACGAGUGACAGAACCAACGAGCUUCAUCUCCCAAGAGGCUGGUGCAUCUGUUUAA